CGGUUAAUCCUGCCGGACCCCACCGCUAUCGGGAUGGGACUAAGACAUGCUAGUCGUGCGUCUCCAAGCCAUGGUGGAGACGCGGCACACAGCUCAGUAACACGUGGCUAACCUGCCCUUGGGACAGGGACAACCCCGGGAAACUGGGGCUAAUCCCUGAUUGGUGAGGAUUCCUGGAAUGGAUCCUCGCCGAAAGGGCGUCUAGACCAUGCUUCUAGGCGCCGCCCAAGGAUGGAGCCGCGGCCGAUCAGGUUGUUGGUGAGGUAACGGCUCACCAAACCUUUAACCGGUACGGGCCGUGAGAGCGGGAGCCCGGAGAUGGGUACUGAGACAAGGACCCAGGCCCUACGGGGCGCAGCAGUCGCGAAAACUCCGCAAUACGCGAAAGCGUGACGGGGCCAUCCCGAGUGCCGUCCGCUGAGGAUGGCUUUUCCCCAGUGUAUAAAGCUGGGGGAAUAAGGAGAGGGCAAGCCUGGUGUCAGCCGCCGCGGUAAUACCAGCUCUCCGAGUGGUGGGGAUGCUUAUUGGGCCUAAAGCAUUCGUAGCCGGUUGGGCAAGUCCCCCGCUAAAUCCAACGAUUCAAUCGUUGGACUGCGGGGGAUACUGUCCAACUAGGGGGCGGGAGAGGCCGACGGUAUUCUCGGGGUAGGGGUGAAAUCCUAUAAUCCCGGGAGGACCACCAGUGGCGAAGGCUGUCGGCUAGAACGCGCCCGACGGUGAGGGAUGAAAGCUGGGGGAGCGAACCGGAUUAGAUACCCGGGUAGUCCCAGCUGUAAACGAUGCAGGCUAGGUGUUGGAGCGGCUACGUGCCGCUCCAGUACCGCAGGGAAGCCGUUAAGCCUGCCGCCUGGGAAGUACGGCCGCAAGGCUGAAACUUAAAGGAAUUGGCGGGGGAGCAC
rnacentral:rRNA from 1 species